rnacentral:rRNA from 1 species
AACGAACGCUGGCGGCAUGCCUAACACAUGCAAGUCGAACGAGACCUUCGGGUCUAGUGGCGCACGGGUGCGUAACGCGUGGGAACCUUCCCUUAGGUUCGGAAUAACUCCCCGCAAGGGGUGCUAAUACCGGAUAAUGUCUUCUGACCAAAGAUUUAUCGACUUUGGAUGGGCCCGCGUUGGAGUAGCUAUUUGGUAGGGUAAAAGCCUACCAAGGCGACGAUCCAUAGCUGGUCUGAGAGGAUGAUCAGUCACACUGGGACUGGGACACGGCCCAGACUCCUACGGGAGGCAGCAGUGGGGAAUAUUGGACAAUGGGCGAAAGCCUGAUCCAGCAAUGCCGCGUGAGUGAUGAAGACGUUAGGGUUGUAAAGCUCUUUUACCCGGGAUGAUAAUGACAGUACCGGGAGAAUAAGCUCCGGCUAACUCCGUG